UUUGACGGCGGGGGGCAGACGUCUCGGUGACGUCACAGUCGCCCAUCGAGCCUGGUGGCCUCGCCCGGCCCCGCUCCACCUGUUGCUUUUCAGCUGCAGGAAUCCGCAACCCCCAGGCCUGCAAACCCCGGCCGAGCUGGCGUUGGCUCGCUUGGCGGAGGAAGAGCCGAUUCCAGGGCGGGGGCCCCGCCGAGUCUCCUCCAGGCCUUUGCUCGUGCAGGGCCCUGGUUCACUCUCUGCCCCUCUCCUCCCUGACCUCUGGGGCGGGGCGGGGGGGGGACUGGAAUCCAGCCUCCCCGCCCCCCCGACAGCACGGGGUCCUGCCCCCGAGGCAUUGUGCUGUGCUGCCGUCUGUGAGUCUGUCUGGACCACCAGGAGGUUUUCCUCCACCAGAGAGGGAGAAAGCAAGACCGAUGUGUGCCUCACAUUCUGCCCUGAUUAUAGGACUCUACUCCCAGAGCUUACAGAACCGUGGGGUCGAGGCUGCAGGAUGGUCAUUCCCGGGGAAUCAACUGUUGGGGCGCUGAUCUUUAAAACACCUUGACCAGA